rnacentral:rRNA from 1 species
CCUACGGGAGGCAGCAGUGAGGAAUAUUGGUCAAUGGACGAGAGUCUGAACCAGCCAAGUAGCGUGAAGGAUGACUGCCCUAUGGGUUGUAAACUUCUUUUAUAUGGGAAUAAAACGUUCCACGUGUGGGAUUUUGUAUGUACCAUAUGAAUAAGGAUCGGCUAACUCCGUGCCAGCAGCCGCGGUAAUACGGAGGAUCCGAGCGUUAUCCGGAUUUAUUGGGUUUAAAGGGAGCGUAGGUGGAUUGUUAAGUCAGUUGUGAAAGUUUGCGGCUCAACCGUAAAAUUGCAGUUGAAACCGGCAGUCUUGAGUACAGUAGAGGUGGGCGGAAUUCGUGGUGUAGCGGUGAAAUGCUUAGAUAUCACGAAGAACUCCGAUUGCGAAGGCAGUUCACUGGACUGCAACUGACACUGAGGCUCGAAAGUGUGGGUAUCAAACAGGAUUAGAUACCCCAGUAGUC